rnacentral:rRNA from 1 species
GAGUGGCGGACGGGUGAGUAAUGUCUGGGAAACUGCCUGAUGGAGGGGGAUAACUACUGGAAACGGUAGCUAAUACCGCAUAACGUCGCAAGACCAAAGAGGGGGACCUUAGGGCCUCUUGCCAUCGGAUGUGCCCAGAUGGGAUUAGCUAGUAGGUGGGGUAACGGCUCACCUAGGCGACGAUCCCUAGCUGGUCUGAGAGGAUGACCAGCCACACUGGAACUGAGACACGGUCCAGACUCCUACGGGAGGCAGCAGUGGGGAAUAUUGCACAAUGGGCGCAAGCCUGAUGCAGCCAUGCCGCGUGUAUGAAGAAGGCCUUCGGGUUGUAAAGUACUUUCAGCGGGGAGGAAGGGAGUAAAGUUAAUACCUUUGCUCAUUGACGUUACCCGCAGAAGAAGCACCGGCUAACUCCGUGCCAGCAGCCGCGGUAAUACGGAGGGUGCAAGCGUUAAUCGGAAUUACUGGGCGUAAAGCGCACGCAGGCGGUUUGUUAAGUCAGAUGUGAAAUCCCCGGGCUCAACCUGGGAACUGCAUCUGAUACUGGCAAGCUUGAGUCUCGUAGAGGGGGGUAGAAUUCCAGGUGUAGCGGUGAAAUGCGUAGAGAUCUGGAGGAAUACCGGUGGCGAAGGCGGCCCCCUGGACAAAGACGGACGCUUAGGUGCGAAAGCGUGGGGAGCAAACAGGAUUAGAU